rnacentral:rRNA from 1 species
UACGUAGGGUCCAAGCGUUGUCCGGAGUUACUGGGCGUAAAGGGUGCGUAGGCGGGUCUUUAAGUCAGGGGUGAAAUCCUGGAGCUCAACUCCAGAACUGCCUUUGAUACUGAGGAUCUUGAGUUCGGGAGAGGUGAGUGGAACUGCGAGUGUAGAGGUGAAAUUCGUAGAUAUUCGCAAGAACACCAGUGGCGAAGGCGGCUCACUGGCCCGAUACUGACGCUGAGGCACGAAAGCGUGGGGAGCAAACAGG